rnacentral:sRNA from 1 species
AUUCUUCAUCAUGUGUGAGAAACUUAAUUCCAUAUUCGUUCCUCUGCCUCAUCCUUUUUCGAGAUGGAUCACAUGAACUCCUCCAACGCUGGCGAACUCAUAAAGCACGAGGGUUUCAUCGACAGUAGCUUCCUCCUCAAUUGCAAGGCUAGGAACGGUUAUGUGAUUGUGUAACCCUACUUGAUUGCGUAGUAGGUUGGGUAGCAGUUCGUCUUUGCGUAGCACUUCGCGUCUUCCAUUCUCGAGUUCUAUAUUCUUGUUGUCUUCCUCUGUCAUUGCAUCUUGAAGAGGUUAGUACUUUCCUAACCCAAAAAUGUUAUAUUGAAAUUUGCUUAAAUUUUGGGAUUAAAAGAGCAAAAUGUUUUGAUUUAAUAGGUAUCACCGGAUUGUUUGAGAGAUUGGUGUCCUUCCUUUCGGAGAAUUUGAAGGUGUUUCGGAAGACAGAGUUUCAAUCUUGUCGCUGGGUGAAGUCGCUGCACAUUGUUCCUCAAGUGCUCAAUAUCAAUAUGUUUCAGAAACAGCCCAACGGCAAUGACGAGGUAAAUCAUCCGUUUCAGAACCGUCAUUCCAGAAUGCUAAAACAUUGUUCGUGUUAUUGUGCUUUUAUUACUUUCCAAAAUGGCACUCUUUUAUAAAAACAUUUUAUCUUUCAUAAAAAGUACAUUGUAU